GACGAACCGAGCGAACGUUGUUCGGAAUCACUGGGCUUAAAGGGCGCGUAGGCGGGCCGCCAAGUCCGAGGUGAAAUCCUCCGGCUCAACCGGAGAACUGCCUCGGAUACUGGAGGCCUCGAGGCGGGUAGGGGCGUGCGGAACUGUGGGUGGAGCGGUGAAAUGCGUUGAUAUCCACAGGAACUCCGGUGGCGAAGGCGGCACGCUGGACCCGAUCUGACGCUGAGGCGCGAAAGCCAGGGGAGCAAACGGG
rnacentral:rRNA from 1 species